rnacentral:rRNA from 1 species
UACGAAGGGGGCUAGCGUUGCUCGGAAUUACUGGGCGUAAAGGGCGCGUAGGCGGGUCGUUUAGUUAGAGGUGAAAGCCCAGGGCUCAACCCUGGAAUUGCCUUUAAUACUGGCGGCCUUGAGUAUGAGAGAGGUGUGUGGAACUCCGAGUGUAGAGGUGAAAUUCGUAGAUAUUCGGAAGAACACCAGUGGCGAAGGCGGCUCACUGGCCCGGUACUGACGCUGAGGUGCGAAAGCGUGGGGAGCAAACAGG